rnacentral:rRNA from 1 species
AUGACACUACUAGUCCUCCUCGUCCUGGCAGUCUCGCUUGCCUGGCCGGCGUCCAGCCAGCCUCUGCCGGUGCUUGUUCCGUCCAUAGCCCUGGAGGGCGCCCGCGUGCCCGUCCCUGCGCGCGCGCUCGCCACCGGCGGCGUGGUACUCAGCAGCACAAAGGCGCACUUCACCUUGCUCCGACGCGACGUGUACCGCCCGUUCGUGGACGCGUUCGCCAAGGCCCUGGUGCAGCAGGGUGCGCAGGGCGGCCCCGUGGCGCGCGCGGUGAAGCCCGUGGCGCCGUUCGAGCUGUGCUACGACACGCGGUCGCUCGCCAACACGCGGACCGGGUACUGGGUGCCGGACAUCAGUCUGGCGCUCGAGGGUGGGAUGAACUAUUCGAUGAACGGCUUGCUCUCGAUGGUGAAUGUGCCGGGGGGCGCGGCGUGCCUUGCGUUCGCGGAGACGAAGGGGGUGAAGGCCGGGGACGGCAGCGCGCCGGCGGUGAUCAUCGGAGGGUUCCAGAUGGAGAACGUCCUGCUGGAGUUCGACAUGGAGAAGAAGCGGCUCGGGUUCUUCAGGCUGCCGUUCUUCACGCGGUGUGGCCACUUCAACUUCACCCGGACCGGCUAG